rnacentral:rRNA from 1 species
GGUGAAAAGCACCCCGGAAGGGGAGUGAAAUAGAACCUGAAACCGUGUGCUUACAAGUAGUCAGAGCCCGUUAAUGGGUGAUGGCGUGCCUUUUGUAGAAUGAACCGGCGAGUUACGAUUUGAUGCAAGGUUAAGCAGUAAAUGUGGAGCCGUAGCGAAAGCGAGUCUGAAUAGGGCGUUUAGUAUUUGGUCGUAGACCCGAAACCAGGUGAUCUACCCUUGGUCAGGUUGAAGUUCAGGUAACACUGAAUGGAGGACCGAACCGACUUACGUUGAAAAGUGAGCGGAUGAACUGAGGGUAGCGGAGAAAUUCCAAUCGAACCUGGAGAUAGCUGGUUCUCUCCGAAAUAGCUUUAGGGCUAGCCUCAAGUGAUGAUUAUUGGAGGUAGAGCACUGUUUGGACGAGGGGCCCCUCUCGGGUUACCGAAUUCAGACAAACUCCGAAUGCCAAUUAAUUUAACUUGGGAGUCAGAACAUGGGUGAUAAGGUCCGUGUUCGAAAGGGAAACAGCCCAGACCACCAGCUAAGGUCCCAAAAUAUAUGUUAAGUGGAAAAGGAUGUGGCGUUGCCCAGACAACUAGGAUGUUGGCUUAGAAGCAGCCAUCAUUUAAAGAGUGCGUAAUAGCUCACUAGUCGAGUGACACUGCGC